UUUCCGUAGGUGAACCCGCGGAAGGAUCAUUAUUGUAUAACCGAGGUGCGAGGGCCGUCGCUGACCCGAAAGGUCGUGCACGCCCGAGUGCCCUCACACACAUCCAUCUCACCCCUAUGUGCACCACCGCGUGGGUCCCCCUUUGGCUUGUUCGGAGGGGGGCUUACGUUUUCACACGAACUUUGUAUGCAGUGUAGAAUGUAUUUUUUGUUUUUGCGAUCACGCAAUCAAUACAACUUUCAACAACGGAUCUCUUGGCUCUC
rnacentral:misc_RNA from 1 species